rnacentral:lncRNA from 1 species
GCUCUGCAUACCCCGGAAGUACCUGGGGACCUGAGGGCCCAUGGAGGAGGUCUGGGCAGGAGCAUCCUUCUGGGUGCACGGCAGCGCUGCCGCUCCUUGAGCUCCAGGUUCAUGCAGACCAUCAACAUGGCUUGUGGGUACAGAAGUCCAUGCUCGGUAAGCGGAAAGCAAACGCCUGCUUGGCAGCCGUGUGGAGAAGGAACCACUCCAAGUGGCAGUAGCCCCAUUUCUGAUGAUCGCAGGACAUCCGCAGAGGAAUGAGCUCAUGUGUCCCCUUCAGCAACGCCAAGCAGUGAAAUGGGAAGCCU